rnacentral:rRNA from 1 species
AACGAACGCUGGCGGCAGGCUUAACACAUGCAAGUCGAGCGCCCCGCAAGGGGAGCGGCAGACGGGUGAGUAACGCGUGGGAAUCUACCCAUCUCUACGGAAUAACGCAUGGAAACGUGUGCUAAUACCGUAUACGUCCUUCGGGAGAAAGAUUUAUCGGAGAUGGAUGAGCCCGCGUUGGAUUAGCUAGUUGGUGGGGUAAAGGCCUACCAAGGCGACGAUCCAUAGCUGGUCUGAGAGGAUGAUCAGCCACACUGGGACUGAGACACGGCCCAGACUCCUACGGGGGGAAGCAGUGGGGAAUAUUGGACAAUGGGCGCAAGCCUGAUCCAGCCAUGCCGCGUGAGUGAUGAAGGCCCUAGGGUUGUAAAGCUCUGUCACCGGUGAAGAUAAUGACGGUAACCGGAGAAGAAGCCCCGGCUAACUUCGUGCCAGCCGCCGCCGUAACAC